rnacentral:lncRNA from 10 species
GUGGGUGUCACCCUCUCGGGAGCCUUUCUGAGGAGUCUGUGGCCAGACAUCAGGGACCUUGAAAGCUGUUCUUUGGACCCAGCAAAGCCCCACCGUGGUUGGAACGUGGGUCUCUGAGUGACUGCGUGGAGAAGAACCACUACCCUCUGCCCAAUGUAUUGGUGACAUCAGUGAGCUGUAAACUGUUAUUGGACUAAGCCAUCAAGAUUUGGGCGUUUGUUUGUUACCACAGCAACACCUGCUUUGCACGGACUAAUACAUCAUGUUCACAGACACUGCUGAUGUGUUUCACCAGAUUUAGUUUUCUCCUGAUGGUUUCUGCAGCGGGUUCUGGAGCUGUGUUCCUACCUCAAUACCUACCCUAGCAUCAAAGUCCCUGGUGGGAAAGCAAUGCUUUCUCACAUUAUGAAGAUGGAAAAGAAUAUCGUCAGGGAGAACAUCACCAGCCCAGAAAAUUGGCUGUCAGCUCCAGGCCUCCAACCCUUAUAUUUAUUCCUGGG